GACGAACGCUGGCGGCGUGCUUAACACAUGCAAGUCGAACGGAAAGGCCCUGCUUUUGUGGGGUGCUCGAGUGGCGAACGGGUGAGUAACACGUGAGCAACCUGCCCUUGACUUUGGGAUAACUUCAGGAAACUGGGGCUAAUACCGGAUAGGAGCUCCUGCUGCAUGGUGGGGGUUGGAAAGUUUCGGCGGUUGGGGAUGGACUCGCGGCUUAUCAGCUUGUUGGUGGGGUAGUGGCUUACCAAGGCUUUGACGGGUAGCCGGCCUGAGAGGGUGACCGGCGACAUUGGGACUGAGAUACGGCCCAGACUCCUACGGGAGGCAGCAGUGGGGAAUAUUGCACAAUGGGCGGAAGCCUGAUGCAGCAACGCCGCGUGCGGGAUGACGGCCUUCGGGUUGUAAACCGCUUUCGCCUGUGACGAAGCGUGAGUGACGGUAAUGGGUAAAGAAGCACCGGCUAACUACGUG
rnacentral:rRNA from 1 species